UCGAGAAUCUUUCGCAAUGGGCGAAAGCCUGACGAAGCGACGCCGUGUGAGCGAUGAAGGCCUUUGGGUUGUAAAGCUCUUUUGCCUGGGAACAAGAGACAGUGGUGAAUAGCCAUUGAAUUUGAGGGUACCAGGAGAAAAAGCACCGGCUAACUCCGUGCCAGCAGCUGCGGUAAUACGGAGGGUGCGAGCAUUAAUCGGAUUGACUGGGCGUAAAGGGCGUGUAGGCGGAGAGAUAAGUCAGAUGUGAAAGCCCGGGGCUCAACCCCGGAACAGCAUUUGAAACUAUUUUUCUAGAGGGUAGACGGAGGAAACGGAAUUCCACAAGUAGCGGUGAAAUGCGUAGAUAUGUGGAUGAACACCUGUGGCGAAAGCGGUUUUCUAGGUUAUACCUGACGCUGAGGCGCGAAAGCUAGGGGAGCAAACAG
rnacentral:rRNA from 1 species